rnacentral:rRNA from 1 species
UACGUAGGGUGCAAGCGUUUGUCCGGAAUCAUUGGGCGUAAAGCGCGCGUAGGUGGCUUCGUAAGUCCGUUGUGAAAGUCAAAGGCUCAACCUUUGAAUGCCGAUGGAUACUGCGAAGCUAGAGUACGGAAGAGGCGAGUGGAAUUCCUGGUGUAGCGGUGGAAUGCGCAGAUAUCAGGAGGAACACCAAUAGCGAAGGCAGCUCGCUGGGACGUUACUGACGCUGAGACGCGAAAGCGUGGGGAGCGAACAGG